CAGUAGCCGCGGGAAUACGAGGGGGGCAAGCGUUGUUCGGAUUUAUUGGGCGUAAAGGGUGCGUAGGCGGUUUGGCAAGUCUUGUGUGAAAUCUUCGGGCUCAACCCGAAGCCUGCACGAGAAACUACCGGGCUUGAGUAUUGGAGAGGUGAGUGGAAUUUCCGGUGUAGCGGUGAAAUGCAUAGAUAUCGGAAGGAACACCUGUGGCGAAAGCGGCUCACUGGACAAUAACUGACGCUGAUGCACGAAAGCUAGGGGAGCAAACAGGAUUAGAUACCCCUGUAGUCCUGUCUCUUAUACA
rnacentral:rRNA from 1 species